rnacentral:rRNA from 1 species
GUGGGGAAUAUUGGACAAUGGGCGAAAGCCUGAUCCAGCCAUGCCGCGUGUGUGAAGAAGGUCUUCGGAUUGUAAAGCACUUUAAGUUGGGAGGAAGGGCAGUAAGUUAAUACCUUGCUGUUUUGACGUUACCGACAGAAUAAGCACCGGCUAACUUCGUGCCAGCAGCCGCGGUAAUACGAAGGGUGCAAGCGUUAAUCGGAAUUACUGGGCGUAAAGCGCGCGUAGGUGGUUUUGUAAGUUGGAGGUGAAAUCCCCGGGCUCAACCUGGGAACUGCUUUCAAAACUGCUGAGCUAGAGUACGGUAGAGGGUGGUGGAAUUUCCUGUGUAGCGGUGAAAUGCGUAGAUAUAGGAAGGAACACCAGUGGCGAAGGCGACCACCUGGACUGAUACUGACACUGAGGUGCGAAAGCGUGGGGAGCAAACAGGAUUAGAAACCCGUGUAGUCC